GUUUAAUUUCACUCUCACUUUUGUCAGGCACAAAGUCACAGAACACAGCCCUGGAAGUGGCUGGCAAGCAAGGAAGACACAGACUGACCAAGAGAUGCACUGCCCAGCUAGUGACCAGAAGGAUAGUUCCGCUUCAUCCUCUCAUCGAAGUUGUAAACAUUGGCACCCGCUUUGACACGAGGGGGAGGCGGGGCCUUUGCGUAAUUUGUGGGGCCCUACGCAACUGGCGUUGUGAGCGGAUUGGGCCGCCCGGCUCUGGCGGUAACUGAUAAUAAGCCUGGAGUGGGUCAAAGGUGAGUCCCAUUUCAGAUUCUGAUACUGCAUCUUGGACAGGCUUGUAGAAGACAGCAUCACAACACAAUGCAGUGAACUAAACCUGAGGAGAGAAUACAGUCAGACAGAGGUAGGCGAUAGAUGGGGAAUACCAAGGUGAACCCUUUGGAUAUUGGAUAAGCCGGUCUUCAAAGAGUACAAAAUUAUGUUAGGGAUCCACCUGUCAGCUCGUGAUUCCUCUGCUUAAUCUCCCAUAAUCCCGCAAACACUUGUGUUUGUUCUAGCAAAUGAGCCAGCAUUGGAAAAUGAAGGAGGUUGAAGGAGAGAGAACAUAUUUACAUCCGCCGCAGGAUCCCUUUCUCAUUAGAGGCAUUAACUAAGCCAGCCAUGCGUAUAAUAUUGAAAUGAUGCUACCUUUUUGAAGAGGCAUUCACUUCUCCUGGUUUUAUAUUAAAACGAGUCAUAUCCAUACAUUCAAAAUGCUAAUAUUUGCCAUUUGAAGUCAUUGAAGUUUCCAUAGUCGAGAAAUACUCUGUGUCAGUUUAGCAACUUCCUUUCUGAGGUUAGGCUAAUGAAUUCCAGUAACCAGCUGUUGUGUCAGGAUGACUCCACAAAUACCGCUCAGAAGUUUUAAUGAACAGAUUGUUGUGAAUAACUUGGUGUGUAAGAUCAUGCAGGUCACAGUCAUGGUUUGUGUCAAUGUGCAGAGGCCCAGACUCUAGAGAAUGUUGUUUGGCAGCCAACAGACUUUUGCGUUGCAAAUCAGCGUCAGCUAAGGUUGUUAUAAGGUUGUGGUACGGUUGAAAUAAGGUUGUGGUACGGUUGAAAUAAGGUUGUGGUAAGGUUGUUAUAAGGUUGGGGUAAGGUUGCUGUAGCUUACUGCAUAUCAACGGGUGCUACAUACUCUAACUCCUUAUCAGUCGUUAUCAGAGACAAAUGUACAGUGUUCUAUAGAAGCUGGAACACUUAGUUGGCAGAAUGCACAUUAUCAUUGCAUGGGAAUGUAGAUUGUAGAUUGGUUCAUUGUUCACUGCAUAACUUCAUAUCUGGAAAUUGGCCAAUGGGCUUGCAGUACAUUAUGGAAUCUGGGACAGACCCAAAUGGAUUUAAAAAAAGAAACCCUUUAGGAGAAAACAGUGAUAGAAAAGUUCAAAAAUAGCAAACAUUUUCAAUUGGGAGUAUUGUUGAGUUUGCUGAAUUUCCCUCUAGAAUCUCUAUCUUCAGAAAACCUUCUUUAAUUUUAUCAGGAAAUCAACAGCUUCAACCAAUGUUCCAUCUGCCAAAUAUUUCUCUAUAGUUGAGUGCACUCAAACAAAACAACAUCUUCGCCAAUAAUUUGGACUGAAUAAUAUGAAAUAUUAUUGUUGUUUCUUCAUUAAGGACUAUUUCCAAAAUUGUAGUUGGAUUUAGAAUAAAACAUAUCUAUUUGGCAGCCAGUAUGUCUCUAUAUCUAGCAUGGAAGGGGAGGGAGAGUGCACGUUUGUUUGCUCCAGGCCUUAGAGACAGUAGUGUCUCUUCUUAAUUGGACUUUCUCAGCAUGUGGCUUGUGUCUUAUCCGCUAUAAGAUAACAUUCAAUUAGCUGGUCAAUUUAAUUUUACCCCUAGUUUUAAAGGUAAUUAUCUGCUAUUCCACACAUUCUGCCAUGAGGCUGAGAGAACAUUUAGCUGUUUUAAAACUAAUUUCCUGCAAUUCUACACAUUUUGCCAU